rnacentral:lncRNA from 1 species
UCCAUUUGAGUUUUUUUUUAGGUCCACGUUAGUCAGCAUCUGUUGUUUUUCAGCCAACUAUGAAGCAAGUUGUGCCUAGAUAGGUGGUUGUACUUUUAGCGUUUAAAGUAGGCAAUGCAAUUGAUGAUCUGCUUUAAUCUGAGAAACUAGUAAAUCAUAUUGGUGAAAAUACAACAUAUUUUGGCCCAAAUUUCAGUUAGCGUCUGUUGUUUUUCAGCCUACUAUGAAGCAAGUUGCGCCUACAUCGGUGGUUGUACUUUUAGCAGUCAAAGUAGGCAAUGCAAAUUCUAAUCCGCAUUAAUCUGAGAAACUAGUAAAUCACAUCGGUGAAAAUACUAGAUAUUUUGGCUAAAAAAUUACAGCUGCUUGAUCCCUGAUGCCCAUCACUCAGGAAUCAUGGUGUUCAAAAGCUCAAAAUGCAUUUAGUAGUCAUAGGGAACAGCAGAACAAAUUGCCAACAAAUUGAUAAUGUUGUGAUUGUGGCAGGUACUCGCUGAACAUAUGGGAUGUUGGGGGGCAGAAGACCAUCCGUUCAUACUGGAGGAACUACUUCGAGCAGACUGACGGUCUCGUUUGGGUGGUCGAUAGUUCCGAUGUUCGAAGGCUCGAUGAUUGCCGUGCGGAGCUCCAUAAUCUUCUGAAAGAAGAGGUAAACCGCCUAGUGAAUACCACUGAUCAUCCACUUUAGCGUAAUUCGUCUUGGUUUUUUUGCUUUGAAUAACUUCACUGAAAACUAGCAAAAGAUAAUGUUUGCUGUUUAGCAUCAGGAAACUCUUGGGACUACAAAUUUGGUUACCUAGCAUGUUUGUGCUUAAUUUAUGUGCUAUCUUGUUCAACUAUUGGAGUGAGCCUUCAAAUUUCUGUUGCAGAGACUGGCUGGAUCAUCGUUGUUAGUUUUCGCAAAUAAGCAAGACAUUCAGGGCGCUUUGAAGCCUGACGAAAUCGCCAAGGUAAAACACACUAGUCAAGCAGUAUGUAUAUGGACCCCCAUAUAUUGGUCUAUUAUCUUCGUACCUGGAGCCACAUGAUCAUCUUGUGAUCUUUGCUUUAAGGACAGUCAAAACGGAAAAUAAUCCUAGCAUAUACAUACAAGUUUGUGGUCUUUGCUUCAUGAUGAUUUUAAAAAAAACUAAUAAUUGGCAUGUUGUUUAGUGUUCUUCGAGUUUGAUGGUAACCGGGUGGAGUUUUUGGAUCCAGGUUCUGAAUCUUGAAGUGAUGAACAAGGACCGGCACUGGAAGAUCGUCGGCUGCAGCGCCUACACAGGCGACGGCCUGCUCCAGGGCUUCGACUGGCUGGUCCAGGACAUCGCCUCCCGCAUCUAUGUCCUCGACUGAAACAACAACCAAACUCUGGACAUUUAGCCAUCUGCACUACUGUUAUUGGUUACACCGGCUACCUCAUGUAAUCCGAUCAAGUUUGAACCAAACCAUAGAUGAUGAAACUUUUGUUAUGCACUCUCAUUGAGCUCUGCGUACUGCAAUCGUCAGUUGGUGCGAUCUGUUGCUUAAACAGAAGGUGGAUGAGAUGCACAUCGCAAUGUCUAAAUUUUAUAUUACUCACUGAAAUGGCAGCAAGCUUGGUGCGAUCUGUUGCUUAAACAGAAGGUGGAUGCUUCAGAACAUUUCACUAGAUCUACAAUAUGCUUGCUUGAAGAAAAAGAUAAUGGAUGCUUCAUAACGAAAGAGAGAAAAGAAUAAAAGCAUCAGGACACAUAGGAGGAUAUUUCGCAGCUAUCACUUGCAUUUUCUUCAUCCAUUUAAACUGACUUCAAACAUAGGAUUCCAACAUCACAUCCCAAUCCAUGACAGAAGGGAUUGCUGCAUCACCGACGAACACGACCGACUGAAAGAUAACACAUGUUGUUUCUUCCUCGCGUAACCAGCUCUAAUUAACCCCGGACAGAGCGACACUCGAGCUCGCGAUCAAAAACACCACAGGACCGAACGACACACACGACUCAAGACUGACUGACACAGGAACACGACGACGACGACACUGAAGAUAACUUGCUGACGAAGACGACGAGAUGGUAGAUAGAUCGAUAACUGGAGGGCCCCGCCGCUCAGUUCCUCCACUGGCCGCCGGAGUCGCCGCCGCGCUGGCCGCCGUAGCCGCCACCGCCGCCGCCGUAGCCACCGCCGUAGCCGCCGCCACCACGCUGGCCGCCGUAGCCACCGCCGCCCUGGCCGUAGCCGCCACCGCCGCCCUGGCCGUAGCCGCCGCCGCCCUGGCCGCCGUAGCCGCCACCGCCGCCGCCGUAGCCUCCGCCACCGCCGCGCUGGCCGCCGUAGCCGCCGCCGCCGCCCCCACCGCCGGAGCGGCGGGACUGGGCCUCGUUGACGGUGAUGUUGCGCCCGUCGAGCUCCUUGCCGUUCAUCUCCUCGAUGGCCUGGCGCAUCGACUCCUCGCUGCCGAACGUGACGAAGCCGAACCCACGGGACCUCCCCGUCUCGCGGUCGUUGAUGAUCUGCACGCACGCACAAAACACAAACACCACACCAGAUCCGGUCAGAUCCGCCACACAAACCCCAGAUCGGGUCAGAUCUACAGCCCACGACGCGAAAUUCGAACGGAUCGGCGCAGAUCGGAGACAGGGGUUGGUCGGUCGGUUACCUUGGCGUCGAGGAUCUCGCCGUACUGGCUGAAGGCCUGCUGGAGGUUGUUGUCGUCGGUGGCCCAGGCGAGGCCGCCCACGAAGCAGCGGUACUCCGUCUCCGCCAUGGAUCUCACUUCCUCUCUACCGAAACCCUAGACUAGGCUAGCUACUCGGCCUCUCUCUCGAACCGAACCCGAACCGAACCAGAACCCGAACCGGAAGGGGAGGAGAAGCCAACCCCGA